CCUACGGGUGGCAGCAGUCGAGAAUCAUUCACAAUGGGGGAAACCCUGAUGGUGCGACGCCGCGUGGGGGAAUGAAGGUCUUCGGAUUGUAAACCCCUGUCAUGUGGGAGCAAAUUAAAAAGAUCGUACCACAAGAGGAAGAGACGGCUAACUCUGUGCCAGCAGCCGCGGUAAUACAGAGGUCUCAAGCGUUGUUCGGAAUCACUGGGCGUAAAGCGUGCGUAGGCGGUUUCGUAAGUCGUGUGUGAAUGGCGCGGGCUCAACCCGCGGACGGCACAUGAUACUGCGAGACUAGAGUAAGGGAGGGGGAACCGGAAUUCUCGGUGUAGCAGUGAAAUGCGUAGAUAUCGAGAGGAACACUCGUGGCGAAGGCGGGUUCCUGGACAUUAACUGACGCUGAGGCACGAAGGCCAGGGGAGCGAAAGGGAUUAGAUACCCUUGUAGUC
rnacentral:rRNA from 1 species